rnacentral:rRNA from 1 species
GACGAACGCUGGCGGCGUGCUUAACACAUGCAAGUCGAACGGUGAAGCUCCAGCUUGCUGGAGUGGAUCAGUGGCGAACGGGUGAGUAACACGUGAGCAACCUGCCCCUGACUCUGGAAUAAGCGCUGGAAACGGCGUCUAAUACUGGAUACGAGAAGGGUCCGCAUGGGCACUUUCUGGAAAGUUUUUCGGUUGGGGAUGGGCUCGCGGCCUAUCAGCUUGUUGGUGAUGUAAUGGCUCACCAAGGCGACGACGGGUAGCCGGCCUGAGAGGGCGACCGGACACACUGGGACUUAGACACGGCCAAGACUCCUACGGGAGGCAGCAGUGGGGAAUAUUGCACAAUGGGCGAAAGCCUGAUGCAGCGACGCCGCGUGAGGGAUGACGGCCUUCGGGUUGUAAACCUCUUUCAGCAGGGAAGAAGCGAAAGUGACGGUACCUGCAGAAGAAGAACAGGCUAACCACGUG